rnacentral:rRNA from 1 species
UUAAUGAGAGUUUGAUCCUGGCUCAGGACGAACGCUGGCGGCGUGCCUAAUACAUGCAAGUAGAACGCUGAAGAGAGGAGCUUGCUCUUCUUGGAUGAGUUGCGAACGGGUGAGUAACGCGUAGGUAACCUGCCUUGUAGCGGGGGAUAACUAUUGGAAACGAUAGCUAAUACCGCAUAACAAUGGAUGACACAUGUCAUUUAUUUGAAAGGGGCAAUUGCUCCACUACAAGAUGGACCUGCGUUGUAUUAGCUAGUAGGUGAGGUAAUGGCUCACCUAGGCGACGAUACAUAGCCGACCUGAGAGGGUGAUCGGCCACACUGGGACUGAGACACGGCCCAGACUCCUACGGGAGGCAGCAGUAGGGAAUCUUCGGCAAUGGGGGCAACCCUGACCGAGCAACGCCGCG